ensembl:lncRNA
GGGCGAGUUGGGGAGGUGAAGGGAGUGAAGAAGACUUAGCUAUUGACCAGGGUUGGGUGGGAGGUAAUCCUUUAUGCUUUAUUUCACUUUUAUUUUUUUGACAAAACUCUUGCUUCAGAACAUCUGCAUUUUUGGAAGUAAGUCCAUAGCAGAACUAAGCGAAACCCUCCCACGGAUAGCAUAAAUUUGCAUUGCCGAAGCUGCCGGUCUGCGGGAUUCUUGAGCCGGGAGGAGGCAAAUUCCCUUUCCAGCUCUUGCAAAAAUACCUCCAGUAAAAGCAAGCCCUUCGGCCCCUUUCUACUUUCCAGGUUUCAGCAUAUACUUCUUUGCUUUAUUUGUUGUUUAUAUGUUUAGUUCAGUCUCCAAAUGGAUUUUAAACACUUCGAAGGCAGAGAAGGACUCUCCUAAACUUUACGUCUCCCGACUCAGUUGAAUAGAUGAUGCACAUGUUUUGCUGAAACCCUUCUGGGAGUUCGUGGCCCUGCAGUAAACCUUUCUCUGCUCCAAGUCCGUUUUGGUUUGUUUGAUCUCACUGUGCAUCAGGCACCUGAACAUGUCCUACAGCUCCAGGAGUUGGUGAUGGACAGGGAACCCUGCUGUGCUGCAGUCCGUGGGGUCGCAAAGAGUCGGACACGACUGAGCGACUGAACUGAAAUGAACAGAUUCACCAGGUGAAAGUAAUCCAGGCGUCCUUGCCUUUGGUUCGGGCCAUUUUCCAGCCCAAGAGAGGUCCUUUGCUUCCUUCGUUCCCAGAACCAUCUGCUGACCAAUCUGAGGUUAAACAAACCAUUCGUUCAGCUUCCCUCUGCCAACUGGCUACAGAGAGGAGCUUUUGGAUGUGGAGCAAGUAUCACCUUCAAAUGAAGCAAAUGGACAUGUUCUAGACGGACAACAUGUGACAAUAAAUAGAAUGAGUAAUGCAGAUAAUAGAGAAUCGUAAAUAAUGUGACAGAUGUACUGUAUAAUGUAGAGUAAUAAUACCAAGGAAUAUUUGGUAAGAGCAUUUCCUCUGAUAUGGAUGGUAACUGUCUGAAAGAGUUAAUUUAUCCCACAGUUCAGCU